rnacentral:misc_RNA from 1 species
GAUGAAGAACGCAGUGAAAUGCGAUAAGUAGUGUGAAUUGCAGAAUUCAGUGAAUCAUCGAAUCUUUGAACGCACAUUGCGCCCCUUGGUAUUCCAUGGGGCAUGCCUGUUCGAGCGUCAUUUGUACCUUCAAGCUUUGCUUGGUGUUGGGUGUUUGUCCAUUCUCUUGCAGAGGGACUCGCCUUAAAGUAAUUGGCAGCCAGUGUUUUGGUUUUGAAGCGCAGCACAAGUCGCGAUUCAAAGCUAUACGCCCGCUUCCACAAGCCUUCUUCACUUUUGACCUCGGAUCAGGUAGGGAUACCCGCUGAACUUAAGCAUAUCAAUAAGCGGAGGA